rnacentral:rRNA from 1 species
CGACGAGGAGGUUUGGCACCUCGAUGUCGGCUCAUCGCAUCCUGGGGCUGGAGCAGGUCCCAAGGGUUUGGCUGUUCGCCAAUUAAAGCGGUACGCGAGCUGGGUUCAAAACGUCGUGAGACAGUUUGGUCCCUAUCUUCCAUGGGCGUAGGAGGCUUGAGAGGCUCUGACCUUAGUACGAGAGGACCGGGUUGGAGACACCUCUGGUGUACCAGUUGUCAUGCCAGUGGCAUCGCUGGGUAGCCAUGUGUCGAUUGGAUAACCGCUGAAAGCAUCUAAGCGGGAAACCGACCUCAAGAAUUGGCCUCCCGGGGGCAACCCCCUGAAGACCCGUCGUAGACUACGACGUUGAUAGGCCGGGUGUGUAAGCGCAGCAAUGCGUUCAGCUAACCGGUACUAAUGGGUCGUGCGGCUUACUUUG